rnacentral:rRNA from 1 species
UACAGAGGGUGCGAGCGUUAAUCGGAAUUACUGGGCGUAAAGCGCGCGUAGGCGGCUUUUCAAGUCGAUUGUGAAAUCCCCGGGCUUAACCUGGGAACUGCAGUCGAGACUGUCUAGCUAGAGUAUGGGAGAGGGAAGUGGAAUUUCAGGUGUAGCGGUGAAAUGCGUAGAUAUCUGAAGGAACAUCAGUGGCGAAAGCGACUUCCUGGACCAAUACUGACGCUCAUGUGCGAAAGCGUGGGGGGCAAACAGG